AAACGGAGGAAAAGAAACCAACAGGGAUUGCCCUAGUAACGGCGAGUGAAGCGGCAACAGCUCAAAUUUGAAAGCUGGCUCCGGCCCGCAUUGUAAUUUGCAGAGGAUGCUUUUGGCGAGGUGCCUUCCGAGUUCCCUGGAACGGGACGCCAUAGAGGGUGAGAGCCCCGUAUGGAUGGACACCAGACCUGUGUAAAGCUCCUUCAACGAGUCGAGUAGUUUGGGAAUGCUGCUCUAAAUGGGAGGUAAAUCUCUUCUAAAGCUAAAUACCGGCCAGAGACCGAUAGCGCACAAGUAGAGUGAUCGAAAGAUGAAAAGCACCUUGAAAAGGGGGUUAAACAGUACGUGAAAUUGUUGAAAGGGAAGCAUUUAUGACCAGACUUGCGCCGGGCAGCUCAUCAGGGGUUCUCCCCUGUGCACUCUGCCCGGCUCAGGCCAGCAUCGGUUCUCGUGGGAGGAUAAGAACAGUGGGAACGUGGCCCCCCUCCGGGGGGGUGUUAUAGCCCAUUGUACGAUACUCUCGUGGGGACCGAGGUUCGCGCUCCGCAAGGAUGCUGGCGUAAUGGUCAUCAAUGACCCGUCUUAA
rnacentral:rRNA from 1 species